AUUGAACGCUGGCGGCAGGCCUAACACAUGCAAGUCGAACGAGUGGCGGACGGGUGCGUAAUGUCGGGGAAACUGCCUGAUGGAGGGGGAUAACUACUGAAAACUGUAGCUAAUACCGCAUACCAUCGGAUGUGCCCAUAUGGGAGUAGCUAGUAGGAGGGGUAAAGGCUCACCUAGGCGCCGAUCCCUAGCUGGUCUGAGAGGAUGACGAGACACACUGGAACUGAGACACGGUCCAGACUCCUAGGGGAGGCAGAAGGGGGAAAUAUUGCACAAGGGGCGCAAGUCUGAUGCAGCCAUGCCGCGUGUAUGAAGAGGGCCUUCGGGUUGAAAAGUACUUUCAGCGGGGAGGCGUUACCCGCAGAAGAAGCACCGGUUAAUUCCGUGCAAGCAGCCGCGUAAUAC
rnacentral:rRNA from 1 species